AAACACCCAAGAAUUAUCAAUAAAAAAAUAAAUUAAAAAAAAAAAUAAAUAAAUAAAUCCAGCAAAAAUAAAAAUAAAAAAUAAAAUCCCCUUGAAUACAUUUGAGGUAAUGUUGUAGUUUUCAGCUCCUCCCACGAGAGAUUUUAUGGAGUGCCUAACUGUGCUACCCGGGUGCUGCUCCUGUCGUUAGUGGUGGCACCCAGGAGGAAUUAAAAUUACAAGAGUGUUUCCUUCCAGAUGUUGUUGCUACAGGCUCAAGGUGCUCUUUUAACUGGGACAUCAGGCUUUCUUGAAAUAGACAAGAAUUCUAGAAACAUGACAUUGUGCCUGAUUCAUCGCUUCAACUUGCCACUGACUCAUUCUCUCCUUGAUAGGUUAUUCAACAGUAACUUUAAUUACAUCAUUUACUUAUUGUUUUCUUCCUUGAUUUAUUCUCUUUCUACAAUUCUUGUUUAUCAUCUCAGUGAUUGGACCAUCUCACCUCUGAGACUUGGGUAGAAUUCUGUGGACUCUGGAAAUAGACAUGGAGGUUUUCAUGUAUCUCUGUUAAUGUGUACAAACACCCCCAGGCUUGUACACUUGAAAUACAUCAGUAGGAAGGGUAGUUCUCAAUUUGCUAGUGUUUCACACAGCUUGUCUUAUUUAAUGAUCUCAGCUGCCCUAUGAAGUAGAUACCAUCCUAUUAAAAAAUGCAGGAGCAGAGGCUCUGAGAGGGGACUGUAACUUACCCAAGAUCAUGUGGUAGAUUGCAAAACUGGUUCCAAAUCCCUACCCUUCCCUGUACGCACACCUUUUGCCAUUCAUCUGCAAUGUCCUUUUCUGAUUCUGGGCUCAGCAAUAUAACUUGCUCUGGCCAACAGGAUAACAACAGCAAAUGUGAUGUAAGCAAAAGCUUGAGAAAUACUUGUGCAACUAAUCAUGUUUGCCUUCUCUCUUGUACCUGUGCCAUUGCCAUGAGAACAUGCCUGGGCUAGGAUUAGAGACACUUGGAGCAGAGCUGAGUCAUCCCAGCUGUCCCAGUUGAGGCCAGCCUAGGUCAGUCGAUGGCAACCAAGCCCUAAGCAUGUUAGUGAGCCCAGCCAUGAUCAGCACAACCACCUAGCCAACCAUCCCAGACCUGUGAUCAAUAAAGCCUUACUAUUCCAUACCACCUAGGUUUUGUGAUUAUUUAUUUCACAGAAUUAUUAUGGCAGUAUGUAACUGAUAGAAGCGGUGUACAGGGAAGAGUAUUUGUUAGUCCGUUUUCACACUGCUGAUAAAGACAUAUGCGAGACUGAGCAAUUUACAAAAGAAAGAGGUUUAAUGGACUUACAGUUCCACGUGGCUGGGGAAGCCUCACAAUUGUGGUGAAAGGUGAAAGUCACAUCUCACAUGGCAGCAGACAAGAGAAGAAGAGCUUGUGCAGGGAAACUCCCCUUUUAAAAACCAUCAGAUCUCAUGAUACUUAUUCACUAUCAUCAGAAUAGCCUGGGAAAGACCUGUCCCCAUGAUUCAGUUACUUCCCACCGUGUCACUCCCACAACAAGUGGGAAUUCAAGAUGAGAUUUGGGUAGGGACACAGCAAAACCAUAUUAGAGCAGAUCUCUGGAAUUGGGCAGGCCAAGGUUUGAAUCCCAUCUGUUAUUUGGAGUGUGUGUUUCUUUUUGAGACUAAUCUCCUUACCCUUGAAAUGAGGUAAUAUACUUCCCUCAUAGGGUUGCUGGGAAGAUUAAACACGAGGUGAAGUAAAUAAAGCCCCAGGGACAUAAGCAAAAAAUAAUGGCUUCUCACAGCAAUGCUCCAGAACAUACAACAAGGGAAUACUGGGCCCAGUCCCAGGACUAUCCAAGUGUGAAGCCAACACCUUUUCACAUCAACUCCAAGGUAAGGAUUAAGAACAGAAUGGCCUGGUUCUAAUCUUACCAUGAAAUGCUGCUCCCCUGAAUCUUCCAUUGCAGUAUAGAGAGCAGGACAGGCCUUUAAAAAAUUAAUGUUGCUUAAAUUUAGGAGCCUGAAAAAAAAGCCAAAUCCAAGAUUUUCCUUUGGACUUGUGGUUUUGCCAGAUAGGUGGCAGUGAUUUCGGGAAGGAGGGUUGCUUUUGUCCUGGGUAUGGGUGUGUUUCAAAGUCCUCCGGGCACAGUUGGGAGCAGGGGCCAGCCUGGCUGCGUUUGCCCUGACUCUGUUGGUUGCCCCUCUGCAUGCACAUGCAUUUUUGAUGACAGAUCAUUCAGGAAAUGUGAAUGUUUCCCUGGGAGGCUUUGCUUUUUUCACCUGGCCUUCUUUUCUGGGCCUCCUGUGGGGCUGCCCUUUCCCUUCCUUUGAAGCCAUUGUCUUCUUGACAUGAAAAAUGUACUCAGGUACGCUUAUGGCUAAUUAUCUCAAGGGGGAAGAAAAAACAAAAUGAACUCAAGGCUGAAAUAUAGAACCAUUAACUCUGUAAACUCUGAAAAGUCAUAAGACACUUUUUUAAAAUUAAAAAAAUACAUAUACAUUUGAAAUAGUUUCUUCUUAAACAGAUAAACAGAAUUAACUUGGGAUGUUUCCUACACAAUUUAGCUUCCUUCUCUCUCCCUCCACUCCCACCCCAGAUAGCUCACUUCCCUUUAUCAUCUCUGAUGCUGAUGAUGGGUGACAACAGUUAGCUGCACUGUACUCUGCCUCUAACUUAUUUUAUGACCUUGGAUAAGUUACAUGGCAUUUCUGAGCUUCUGCUUCUCAUAAGUAAGAUGACAUUGCUAUUACAUUUCUUUAAAACUUUUUUUAGUACUGUAAAACAAUAAUUUAUUACCUCUUGCAGUUCCAUGGGCUGACUGGACUCCACUGGGAGUUCUUGAUGUCUCUCGUGUGGUUGUGUGAGAUAGUGGCUGGGACUGGACUCAUCUGAAGGCUUGACUGGGCUGGAUGCCCAAGAUAGCCCACUUUUAGACAGAGGUGGCUGGCAGUUGAUGCUGACUGUCAGCUGGGGACUCAGCUGAGAGUGUUAACUGGAGUCCCUAGACGUGGCUUCUCCACAUGGCUUGGGCUUCUCAUGGAAGGGCACCUGGAUUCUGAGAGAGAGCAUCCCAAGAGACACAAGUGGAAAUGAUAAGGCUUCUUAUGACGUAGACUGGAGGUACUGAGACAUCACUUUUGCUACAUUAGAAGGUUAGAUGCUGACAUUUUAUGAUUUCACAACUUGGAUCCUCUGUCCUCUGAUACUGAAUCAGAUAGUAGUUUAUGGAGCUGAGCAGAGAGCCAGCUGGUCCUGGGCACAGAGGAGGCUGUGUUCCAUGCUGAAGACAAGAACAUAUGGUGGACGUACCAUCCUAACUAUCUGGGAAGGGAGCUUCGUGGCUACAUGGGAGUUAUCAUCUGCCAGUGCCGGCUGCAUCCUGGCUGUGCCCACCUCUGGACUCUGAAUCUCUGCACCUCAGUACCCCCAACCCCAACACGACUGUGAUGUUAGGCAUAUAUUAGGCAUGUGAAGAUGAGAAAGAGAAGAUACAGCUCCCAUGUUUAUCUCCAUGAGAAGAUAAGCCACAGGGAGAGAGAAAGACUGUUGUGCACGAGAGGGAGUGUCAAAUGCCAAAUGGAUGUCAGCAGUCGGGGUGUGCUAGAGGCACUCAGGGGAAGGGAGGCUGGGCAUAGAGGGUCAUGCUGGAGGAGGUGACUCUGGAUCUGAAUCUUGAAAGGUGAGUAGGAAUUACUCAAGGAAGGAAUGGGAAGGGCAUUUCAGGGGAGAGAUCCAUGUGAGUGAAAUAUGAGGACUGGCAGGGAACAGCAACCCACGUGGGUAACCGCAGAGUGACAGGAGGUGAGAGGUGGUGGGAGAUGGAGCUGGAGAUGCAGGCAGGGCCCAGGGUCAUGCAGGGCCUGGGAGGACAGGUUACAAUAUUCCCAUUUUCCUAGACUAGGACCUAGAAGCUCGGGAAGAUAAAGGGACUUGACUAAGGUCACAUAACUUGUAAGUGACCAGUCAGGCUUCGAACCCAGGACUCUGUGACGCCUCAGUCUCACCCCCUUUGCAUCAUCGUGUAAUGGCAGUUGCUGCUGCUGGUUUUCCCAGCUCCCUCUCCCAUUUCUCUGAGGCUCCUGGCAGACAAAGGGUGUUGCUUUUCUGCACCAUUUAUUGUAGUGACUUCAAUUAAACCAUCUUGUGCUGGAUCAGUGAGCAGCUCUAGGGAAUCGAUGAGCAGCACUGGCUACCAGGGAAGCAGAGUCUCCUCCCUUUGUUCCUGCCAAUCCUAGGUCUGGGUUCCUGUCCCCAGGUCUAGGGAGGACUCAAGAGAGGAAAUGGGGACCAGGGGGGCAGGUAGCAAAUCAUGAGACAAGGAAGCAAGUGUCUAUUACCUUCCUGACAUUGAGGGUGGGUGGCCAGCCCUUGGAUGUUCAUCUUUCCUGGCCCUGCCCACUGCUGCCCUUGCUCAGCUGCCUUCCUCUGGCUAAUUGGGACCUGCAGCUGCAGCUCCAAGACAAUGGGGCAUCCCACCUGGCUGCCUUCGGUGCAGGCCCAGUGUGCAAGGAACCUGGGCCCCAAGGAAGAGGAGCUAAGGGCCCUGUCCUAACUUGCUACAUGGCCUUUGGCAGAUUGCCUCCACUCUCUGAGGCUUCUUCUGGGGAAAAACAACAGGGUGGAAAUUGCAGUACAUGAUGCUGUUGUUCUCCACUUGUCGUCUUCAAUUCAUUGUCUCUCCUUCUUAGAAUUGCUCUGUGCCUCAGAAGGCUGAUCCCUGUGGAAUGAAUCAAUGGGUUCCUGUGUCUAUUGGCUCCAGUAUGAUUUGGCCACUGGGAGACACAGGCAGGAGGCUGGAAAGUGGGAGAGUAUUUCUUCUCUGCUACCUCUCUGCUUUGAUGCAGGGUUGGGCCAGUGCCAUUCUGCCUGGCUAUAGCUUCUUUCCAGCAGUCCUUCCCACUGCUCCAGGCCUCAGUGGGCUCCAGUAACCUUCUUUAGGCCCAUGGGUGGUUUCCAGCAUGAUAUGGUUUGGAUCUGUGUCCCUGCCCAAAUCUCAUGUGGAAUUGUAAUCCCCAUUGUUGGAGGUGGGGCCUGGUGGGAGGUAAUUGGAUCAUGAGGGCAGUUUUAAUGCUUAAGCACCAUUCCCCUAGUGCUGUUCUCAUGAUAGGGUUCUCAUGAGAUCUGGUUGUUUAAAAGUGUGUAGCACCUCCACCCUCUCUCUCUUCCUCCUGCUCUGGCCAUGUGAAUGCCUGCUCUGGCUUUGCCUUCUGCCAUGAUUAUAAGUUCCCUGAGGUCUCCCCAAAAGCAGAUGCUGCCAUGCUUCCUGUACAGCCUGUGGAACUGUGAGCCAAUGAAACCUCUUUUCUUUUUUUUUGAGACACAGUCUCGCUCUGUGGCCCAGGCUGGAGUGCAGUGGCAUGAUCUCGGCUCGCUGCAACCUCCACUUCCCGGGUUCAAGUGAUUCUCCCACCUCAGCCUCCUGAGGAGCUGGGAUUACAGACACUCCCCACCAUGCCUGGCUAAUUUUUGUAUUUUUAGUAGAGAGAGGGUUUCACCAUGUUGGCCAGGCUGGUCUCGAACUCCUGACCUCAAGUGAUCUGCCUGCCUCCGCCUCUCAAAGUGCUGGGAUUACAGGCAUGAGCCACCAUACCCAGGGCCUCUUUUCUUUAUAAAUAACCGAGUCUCAGGUAUUUAUAGCAAUGCGGCAACACACUAAUACACAGCAGUUUGCAGUCUCUGGGUUUCUCAAUAUUCUUCUUGGUUUCUUUAAUCUAGCCUUCUGUAAAUAGUACCUCCUCAGUAAGGUCUCUUCAGUUGAACUAUUUGAGCAGAGUUCUGUUUCCUGUUGGGACACUGAUGUAUUCUCUGAAGGCUCUUUCCAACUCUGAAGUCUUACACGUUCGUGAGGGGACGAUGUAACGACCUGGCUGACUCUCAGGCACCGGAGCCUGGGUUAUCCCGUGACAGUUUACAGGCUGAGUGAUCCCAGCUCCUCGGUAGUUCUUUCUUCCCCUCCUUUGGUCCUCAACCUUCACAGCCUUUGCUCAGAUUCCCAUCAUUUAUUUCUUGUUUUAAUCCGACUUUAUUGAGGUAUAAAUUACAAAUAGCAAACUACAUCCAUGAAAGUAUACAGUUAGAUGAAUACCUAUCUGUUAAAGCUUGAAUGUUUGUGUCCCUCUAAAUUCAUGUUGAAACUUAAUCCCCAUUGUGGUGGUAUUAACAGGUGGGGCCUUUUGGGAACUGAUUAAGUCAUGAGGGUUCUUCCCUUGGGAAUGGGAUUAAUGCUCUUGUAAAAGAGGCUUCAGAGGCUGGGCGUGGUGGCUCACGCCUGCAAUCUCAGCACUUUGGGAGGCUGAGGUGGGCGGAUCACAUGAGGUCAAGAGUUCAAGACCAGCUGGCCAACAUGGUGAAACCCCGUCUCUACUCAAAAUACAAAAAUUAGCUGGGCAUGGUGGCAGGCACCUGUAAUCCUAGCUACUCAGGAGGCUGAGGCAGGAGAAUCACUUGAACCUAGGACACGGAGGUUGCAGUGAGCCUAGAUUGUGCCAUUGCAUUCCAGCCUCGGCAACACGAGCAAAACUCUGUCUCAAAAAAAGAGGCUUCAGAGAGCUGCCUGGCCCUUCUCAUCCUUCUGCCAUGUGAAGACAUAGCGUGCAUCCCCUCUGGAGGGUAUAGGAACAAGGUGUCAUCUUGGAAGGAGAGAGCAAGCCCUCACCAGACACCAAAUCUACCGGCACCUUGACCUCCAGAACUGGUUGCCCCAGCAAUGGCCCUUCUUCCUCGUGGCAGAAGCUGGCUCUAGUUUCUAGCUCCUUUCAACGCUCCCAGAACCAGCCUCCCUAUGCCACCUUAGAGUGCAGUUCCUGUUCUCCUGGCUGGACCCUGACUGAUGCCAUGGGGAAAGCCCUCGGGCUCGUGGACCUUAAAUUCCAGGUCCUGUUGUGCCCAACUCAUGAUUUAUCCAGGUCACACCAGUCUGGUCUGUCACAGUAAGAGGGCCACCAGGAAACACACCUUCAGGAAGCACCUUUUCUGUUCUAUCCCAAAGGGCACCAUCACAUACACUAUAAUAUGAAUCAUGACCCCCGGAGUUGUGUGGAGUUUCUGCAUCUCUCCCUCCCCACUGUGGCUACCCUCAUCCAGCAACCAUCCUGUCUCUCACCGGUAUUACCGCAGCUGAGACCCAGGUCUUAAGGAAGCUGAGACCCAGGCCAGCAGGGGCCUCACAGCUUGGAAAAAGAGGAGGGUGUAAGACUCUGGAUGAAGCUGAGAGAUCCUUCCAUGCUUGGCUGAGAGACUACACAGACAUGAGCUUCAGGAGACUCCAAAGCCUCGGAUCCCCUUCUAAACUAGCACUGAAUUCUGAUUGGCUGUCUUUGCCUGCCUCAGUUUGUUCCUUUUACUGAUUGGCUAGGUUCUUCUGCCCAUGGCAGAGCCCUGCUCCAGCCACCGGAUCCUCCCACCUGCCACAGUGUCACCUGGGAUUGGCUGGGCUCUGAAAGGCCAGGCUGGCUUGACUCUUGCCAUCAUCAGAUUCUUCCUCAUUAAACAAAUGAAUCACAAUCCUAAUUAAUUUGAGCAACAGAAUUUAUGUAACUACUCCCAGCAGGAUGUCUGCUCUCAGUCAGCAGAGAGAUUACUUCCUCUCUCUGGGAAAUUCCAGCCUUGCUGGUCAAUAAGCCUUAAUGAUGACUGAAAUCUCCCAUCUGUCUCUGCUCAGGGCAGGUAACCCCUACUAAGCAGACACCCAGUUGGCUCGAGGCAGUACCCCGGGCACCGGCAGGACAAGGACAACGAUCUCCCAGCCUAGAUGUGUCCUGAGCCACAUGGAGCACACAGUAGGUGUUUACUUAAGGACAGGGGCUGCCCCUUCCAGGGAAGUUCUGAACCACUUAAAACCCACAGGAAGUGUUCAAUGUCUACUUAUGGAAUAAAUGAAAGGGAGGAUGUGUCACUCAGAUACUUAUAAAAUGGUCUCAAGAUCCUAAACUCCAAGCAAGCUUCUCCAGCUCUUUCCAGCCUUUGCUCCCCCUAUUUCCCAUGACCAUAACCCAAUUCUGUCUUUUUCCUAUUUUGAACUUUCCAGACUCAGAAAUUUGGCUCUUCAUGUUCCCUGCCCUUGAACCGUCCCAGCCCUCUCUCCAAAACAGGCUUCAUGCUGGCUGCAUGGGAGGGAGGGGUAGCAAAGUGGAAAGUGUUACAGAAUUAGUGCUAAUUCUGGCUUUGUCACUUACUCAUUGUACUUCACCUCUCUGUUCUUAACUUUUCUCUCAUACAUAAACCACACGGGGUUCUUGGGAAGAUUAAAUAAGAAAACAUGGUGAAAAUGUAUUGCACAGUACUUGACUCAUUUAAUUGGUGACAGACAGUGUUUUAGGUAAUGGAGAUACAGUGGUGCUCAAGGCAGGCAAGAUUCCUGCUCCCAAAGAAUUUAAUUUCCAGGAGACAAGAAGCAAGCUAGCAAAUGUAUAAGAUAAUAGUUAGGGAACAGUACUCAGCAAAAAUAAAAAAUGUAUGGAGAGGGACUGAGGGGAGUGAGGAACUCUUUGAGGAGGUGCCACUCUGAGACCCAAAUGACAAGAAGGAAUUAACCACAUGACAUUCUAGAAAGAGGGAAAAGAGUUGCUGUUAAGAAGAUGUGGGUGUGUUAAAAAAAAAUUGCAAAGUCCCUUAGGUACGAUUGAGCUGCUAAUGAUCAAUCUGAGGCUUCUGCUCUGUGUCUUAUAGGUAAACGGGGUAAGGUUUGGUAGGACUGAAAAAUUCAUCCAGCCACCUAUCUAGGGGGUGUGAGGGUCAAGAUGUGGACCCAGGUCUUCUGCCCUUAAGAGCAGAGUGCUUGUCACUACAGCACAAAGAAGGUGCAAGAGAAAGGAAAAGUGAGUGGGAGGCGGUGAGGGAGGAACAGACUGCCUUGUCCUCCACCAGAUCUAAAUCUGUCUCCUCCUGAUGGUUGGCAGGAUUACAGGAUCUGACUCCCAUUUGGGCCUUCCACCUCCGCUGGCCUAAGCAGUCAAGUGUCAGAGAGCACUGGACCUAACAGCUCCCUCACCAGAGCAGCUGUGAUUCCUUCUUCAUUUCCAGCAGGGAAGACCCAACAACUUUUAUAAUAUGGGAUUUCUUUUAUUCUCAUGAUAAUAAUGUUCAUUGUGGAAAAUAAAAAAAAAUGAUAAAAUAAAAAUCAGCCAGAAUUCCAACUUCUGGAGAUUUUGGUGUCUUUCUGCAAAGUUCCUAUGCACAUAGAUACUUUAUAAAAUUAUGAACAUACUGUACAUACAGUUUUGGAAUAUGCCUUUUUCCUUCUGUCAUGAAAAAGUCUUCAAAUGCCUUUUAACAGCUACACAAUAGUUCACUACAUGAACCAACUCAAAUGUAACUAUUUUUGGCCUUUUGUUAUAAAUAACACAAGAACCCUCAGUCUUUGUUACAUAAUGUCCUAACAGAGUAGGGGAAAUGCUCCCCAAUCCGGUGCAAUGUCCUGUGCCCAGGGAAACCAAUU
rnacentral:lncRNA from 10 species